AACCCUGACCGAGCAACGCCGCGUGAGUCGAAGAAGGUUUUCGGAUCGUAAAGCUCUGUUGUAAGAGAAGAACGUGUGUGAGAGUGGAAAGUUCACACAGUGACGGUAACUUACCAGAAAGGGACGGCUAACUACGUGCCAGCAGCCGCGGUAAUACGUAGGUCCCGAGCGUUGUCCGGAUUUAUUGGGCGUAAAGCGAGCGCAGGCGGUUUAAUAAGUCUUGAAGUUAAAGGCAGUGGCUUAACCAUUGUUCGCUUUGGAAACUGUUAGACUUGAGUGCANAAGGGGAGAGUGGAAUUCCAUGUGUAGCGGUGAAAUGCGUAGAUAUAUGGAGGAACACCGGUGGCNAAAGCGGCUCUCUGGUCUUGUAACUGACGCUGAGGCUCAAAGCUGGGGAGCAACC
rnacentral:rRNA from 1 species